rnacentral:lncRNA from 1 species
GGACAGGCAAGAGGCCAGUGGAAAACGUUUUCUCUAACAGUUGGGCACUUCUGUGACUCUGAAAGCAAACUUGUUUGUUUCAUUUCAACAAUAGAAAAAAGCAUUCCUGUUUUUGGAGAUGUUACCCAGCAUAAAAAUAUAUUUGCAAUGGUUGCUAGGAUGAUUAUGCAGAUCUAUCUGAUAAAGGGAAAAAAUUUCAGCAACUUCACCCAGCUUCUACUAUCUACACGGCUGCAUUUGAAAGGCCAAAGAGUUUCAAUAGAUCCCUGAUGGAGAACAGGAGAGAAAGCUGAGGUCCCCAGCAAGGUGGGGAGCUGGAUUCAAGACCUGCCGGGUAAGUCUAGGACCCAUACAGUGAUUAAACUGGAAAACACUUCACACCUUUUGCAUUCUUAAGG